rnacentral:rRNA from 1 species
CUUCGGACGUGGGAGCGUACACAGGUGCUGCAGUGGCUGUCGUCAGCUCGUGUCGUGAGAUGGUUAGGGUUAACGUCCCGACAACGAGCGCAACCCCUGCUGCCAGUUGCCAACGGGUGAAGCCGGGCACUCUGGCGGGACUGCCAUCGACAAGAUGGAGGAAGGUGGGGAUGACGUCAAGUCAUCAUGGCCCUUAUGUCCAGGGCGACACACGUGCUACAAUGGCCGGCACAGCGGGAAGCGAGGCAGUGAUGCCAAGCGGAUCCCUUAAAGCCGGUCUCAGUUCGGAUUGAAGUCUGCAACUCGACUUCAUGAAGCUGGAAUCGCUAGUAAUCGCAGAUCAGCCAAGCUGCGGUGAAUACGUUCCCGGGCCUU